ACAAAUUCUUUGAUUGAAAAAAGUAAGUAUAUGCAUAGGUUUCAGCGAGUUGGGAAUGGUGAGAGCCUAACACUGAUUGGUAUACCGAAUGGGUUCAUGAGAAGCAGGGUGAACAAUAGUAGCCUGAGCCGUUAGCUUUACGUUAUAAAAGCGGGAUAUCGAGAUAACCUUCUCCGUAUCUUAAUUAAGUGAGAUGAUUUUUUCAUCUAAUUUAGGUGGCACCACGGAAGUACAGCCUUUCGUCCUAUUC
rnacentral:ncRNA from 1 species